AAGUAUGUCAACCCUCCCACAGCUAAAGUGAAGACUGAGAUUGAACACAGCACACUAGAAAAUAAAUUGUCCUCUUUGCUUCCUUCCUUCCUUCCUUUUGCCCUCUUCAUUCUUUCCUUCCUUCUUUUCUUUCCUUCUUUCCUUUUUUUCUCCCUCUCUCUCAUUUUAUUUUUCUUUCUUUCUUUCCUUCCUUCCUUCCUUCCUUCCUUCCUUCCUUCCUUCCUUCCUUCCUUCCUUUCUUUCUUUCUUUCUUUCCUUUCUUCCUUCCUUCCUUCCUUUCUUUCCUUCUGCCUUUCCUUACUUUUUCUUCCUUCCUUCCUUCCUUUCCUUUUUAUCUCUUCCUUCCUCUCUCCCCUUCGCUUCCUUCCUCCUUCCUUCCUUUCUUUCCUUCCUUCUUUCUUUCUUUCCUUCUUUCUUUCUUUCUUUCUUUCUUUCUUUCUUUCUUUCUUUCCUUCCUUCCUUCUUUCUUUCUUUCUUUCUUUCUUUCUUUCUUUCUUUCUUUCUUUCUUUCUUUCUUUCUUUCUUUCUUUCUUUCUUUCUUUCUUUCUUUCUUUCUUUCUUUCUAUCUUUCUUUCUUUCUCAGAAAGGACUUUUUUAUCAUCUUUCUCUUCAACUACUACUGAUUCUUCUCACCCACCAUCUGAAUUCCAAGCCCAAACUAGAAUCCAGAAUGUUAAGUGAAACAGCUGCAGUAGAAGGAAAUGAACCUUGAGCUGGAGUCAGAGUCUGGCUGGCAAUGCCUGAUUGGGCCUCAGCUGCUCAUUUGAGAAAUGGGAAUUGGGAAGGGGGAUGGACUAUAUGUUCUCCAAGCACCAUUCCUGCUCUGAAUCUAGGGUCCUGUGGGAAAACUAUAGGUUGAGUAAGCAGUAGGACUGGAACCUAGGUCUUCCCUACUCCAAGUCCACUCCCAUACACACCCUUUUCAGGAAUGGUAAGAGUCUUUGCAAGAUCAGAAUAAUAUCUAGUUAGGGGAUGAAGGGAGGAGGGUUUCAAAUUCUUGGGGUUCUUAACUUGGUCCUCCCACUCUAGUCACCUUGCUGGCUGUUGCUCUCCAAAUGAGAGUCCCUACCAGAAAGUUAUCUGGAUCACCAAAUUGAAGUACCCAGAAAAUGUGGGGAGAGCAUGUAAUACACCUGACCUCCAAGAGCUCUUUGAGGAAAUGAUCCACUGGGAACUCUGCAGUGACCUUCAGAAGGAGAGUCCCCAAGAAGAUUCCAUCAGAUCCUGACCCCUAGCCCCCAUACAGCACCAGAGACCCUCCUGGUCACUGAGUAGAACCCUAAAGCUGGAAAGGGCUCCCAAAAUUCUAAAAAGAUCCUGACCUCCACCUCCCCCCUAAUUCCAAUCACUUCACCACCUUGACAACCCAAGAUAAAGAGAAGCUUCAUGUGGGAGGUAGCCUUGAUUAAACUUAGAAUUCCAGGAAGCAUGGGAAUAGAAGGAAAGGGGAAAAGAAAGGAGUGAUGAGGGAGAAGGUGAAAGAAAAAGGAGGAUGUAGGGGAAGAGGAAAAGAUGAGGAAAGAAAAGGGAGGGGGAAAGGGAAAAUGGGGAGAAGGGGAGGGGAAAGGAAGAGAAAAAGGUGGGAAAGGAGGAGAAGAGGGGGAAAAGAGGUGAAGAGGAAUGAGGGAAGGAAAGAGGAAGAAGUAAGAGAAAGAAGUGGGAAAGGAGAUGGGGAGGGGAG
ensembl:lncRNA